UUGGGUGAGAAAUGUUAUUUACUCCGGGAUUUCUUAUCAACGGGUAGUAGAUAAAUGAGUUUGCUCUGAUGCGGUCAAGGAUCAUUUAUGAUCUUCGAUUAACACAGCCACCUUCUGAAUCCAUAGUUGAGAUUAUAAAUAAGCUUGUUUGUGGUCGGCAAUAACAGCGUAAAAGAUGAUGAUGAAUAAGGAGAGACCACCUGUUGUUUCCCAUCUGAGUGUGAUUGUGCUAUUAGUUUUAGUGCAUUUUAAACCAAUCUCGGGCGAUCAGAAGCUGCGGUUCGGACAAGAUGGGCGGUUUAAGGUCCUGCAAGUGGCUGAUAUGCAUUAUGCGGAUGGAAAGACCACGCCUUGUUUGGAUGUUCUUCCUACCCAGGUCGCUGGUUGCUCUGACCUCAAUACUACCGCAUUUCUCAACCGCAUGAUUUUAGCUGAGAGGCCGGAUCUUAUUGUCUUCACUGGUGAUAACAUUUUCGGAUUUGAUGCCACAGACGCAGCAAAAUCUUUGAAUGCUGCAUUUGCCCCAGCCAUUGCAUCAAACAUCCCAUGGGUUGCUGUUUUGGGGAACCACGACCAGCAAUCCACCCUGUCAAGAGGAGGAGUAAUGAAACAUAUUGUUACAUUGAAGAACACUUUGUCUCAAGUCAAUCCUCCAGAGGCACGAAUUAUUGAUGGUUUUGGGAACUAUAACUUGGAGAUUGGUGGGGUUGAAGGUUCAAGUUUUGAAAACAAAUCAGUUCUCAAUCUCUACUUCCUUGAUAGCGGAGAUUACUCAACGGUUCCUGCUAUUGGUGGCUAUGGAUGGAUCAAACCUUCCCAGCAACUUUGGUUUGAACGUACUUCUGCCAAGCUUCGGAGGGAAUACAUGAGCAAGCCAGCUGCUCAGAAAACAGCUGCACCUGGGCUUGCAUACUUUCACAUACCAUUGCCUGAAUAUGCGAGUUUUGAUUCAUCAAACUUCACAGGUGUUAAGCAAGAAGGCAUAAGCUCUGCUUCUGUUAACUCAGGCUUCUUCACAACCAUGGUAGCUGCAGGCGAUGUGAAGGCUGUUUUCACUGGCCAUGAUCACAUCAAUGACUUUUGUGGUCAGCUUACCGGUAUACAACUUUGUUAUGGAGGGGGUUUUGGAUACCAUGCCUACGGAAAGGCGGGAUGGGAAAGGAGGGCAAGGGUGGUAGUAGCCAAUUUGGAGAAAGUAGAGGAGGGAGGUUGGGGAGCUGUCAAGUCAAUCAAAACAUGGAAACGCCUCGAUGAUGGACACCUCACUGCUGUUGACAAUCGGGUCCUCUGGAGCAAGAGCUCUUCAGGGCCUUCAGUUCAUGAUCAAAAUAAUUUAUUUCAAUGUGGAACAAGCAUUCUUCAAGUCUACUGAAUCAUGUUCCAUGCUAUAGAGCCACUGCCACACCAUGAUAGUUUUAGGUUUCAUUUGGGUGGCCAAGGCCUAAAUGCUACUUCAUUCUUAUUCACCUUUUAUUGGUAAUCGCAGAAAGAAAACUAUUCAUGGUGCUUGAGCGGCUUGGUGCAUAACAAAACUGUUCAUGUGCAUCCUUGACGCUAGCUUAAGCUAUGGAGAAGGGAAGAUGGUUUCCAGAAAAUUUCAAUGGGAAUGUUGCCAUUGGCAUUGUUGUUUAAUAACAUCUAUCUGUACCCUUUAAUAAUUGUGUCGAAUGCGGUGAAUUGUCUACAGAUCUCAGAAUUUCAGAAUAGCAUAGUUGUAAUAUAUGAUUAAGUAGCAAACUAGGUUAUGAUGUGAAUCAUAUGAUGGGAGAAAUAGUGUAUUGUUCCCUGAAUGUUGCCGGAGAGCUAUUGAAUGAAUAAAGAUGAGCAUAAGUGUUGUUUUGUA